rnacentral:lncRNA from 1 species
AUUUGGAUAAGGUCCAAUGCAUUUAAAGGGGGGGGGGAGGGGGAAGGAAACAGGCUCAGAAGCCAUAAAGACAAGGAUCGCAAUGGAAAACCAUACUAAUUAUUUCUAUAAUGAAAUGCGAAUUUCUACAUUGGAUUGAGAGGUGUAGCCCUGUGACAGAACACUUUCCCACCAUGCUCAAAACCCUGAGUUCAGUAACCAACACUGAGGAGAAAAAUGUUAAUGUCUAUUUUUGGUUGCAUAUUAACAUAUCUCUGUAUCUUGUCUUCAUGACUAGUACUCUCUUCCCCUUAUACUUGGAUAGUAACUGGUACAGGUCCAGGCUCACUAGCAUGUGGAUCUCACCACCAUCUAGACUUAAAAUUAGAAUCAAAUUAGAUUUAGAAUGAGCAAAUCAGAAUUCCCUGCAGGAUUUUGAGCUAGAAGUCUUGUUUUUCUGGAGGAGACAGCAACUAAAUGGCAUCUUUCACAAUAGCCAGAAGUUUGGGACUGCCCUUGUUUUCAUCUUGCUUUGGUUGGUUAUGUAGCUCGUAACCUUAGCAACAGAUUAAAUGACUUCUGCUUGCCAUGGAGUCAUCACAAAAGAAUGGAAGUUGCUUUUCCCUCCCUUUCUUGGGAUAAGGUAACUAAGACAGCACUCUACUCAGUGGGUUGGGGCUACUAUUAAACCCAUAAAUUUCUUUUCUUUCUUUCUUUUUUUUUUAUUUGGUUUUUCGAGACAGAGUUUCUCUGUGGCUUUGGAGGCUGUCCUGGAACUAGCUCUUGUAGUCCAGGCUGGUCUCAAACUCACAGAGAUCUGCCUGCCUCUGCCUCCCGAGUGCUGGGAUUAAAGGCGUGCGCCACCACUGCCCAGCUAAACCUGUAAAUUUCAAGGAGAGAGACCAAAUCCAGGAUUGUCCAAUUAAAGCAAGCUUUAUUUAAUACUGGCCAGGAAGAUGGAUACGGCUAGGUCCACACCAGGGAUUUUCAGAGAAUGGCAUUGAAUUAGGCCAAACCCACAAGACCAUGUGCUUUCCACCUUUAGCCAAUCAGGGACGAGCAUACAUCCUGACACAAUUCCUGCCUACAUAUCUCCACCUACACAUGAUCAAGCACAUCCAUCCUGUGCAGUUGGGGCACCAAACCUUGUUUCUUGAAGUGAAAUCAAGUGACUUAUUAUCUUACAUGAACAACAGCUCCCAGCAUUCCUGAAAGUUAUCUCUCCUUGGGUAGGUGGGGCUUACAUGUGAACUCUAGCUGGUAUACUUACUACCUUCACCUUCUUAAAAGAAAGUUUGGUUUUUAAAUCUAGGGUGUUGGGAACUUGAAAGAUUGACCUACAAAACAAGAACAUCCGAGGGCAAGAGAGAAGAGCUUGGAGUCUAGAUGAUUUGAGUAUGAAGGACUAUAGGAAGUCCACUGGCUGUGGGAUCUACACUCCUUAUUGUGGCUUGGAAGCAACAGGAAUCUGAUGGACAUGAUUGAUAGUUCCUGGGGACUGGCACUAAGCAGAGCCAUCCCUGUGGGGUGAAGGUCCCAGCUUCUACUUCCGGCAGGAGUAGAUGUAUCUUCACUGAAGUAGCCUCCUUUUGAUAGACCAUGUAAUUUGGGCAAUGGACAUCCCAUCAGCAAAGCAAUGGAUUGAGGGCUCUCCUCUUGCUCCUUUUCCUCAUGGGUUUUCUCAGUUAUAGAAGCCUUAAUUCUUUCAUGAAAGAUGAAGUGAGGCCCUCUAAAAAUAGUUGAUUAAAUUAUCAACCUUAGCCGGGCGUUGGUGGCGCACGCCAUUAAUCCCAGCACUCGGGAGGCAGAAGCAGGUGGAUCUCUGAGAGUUCGAGACCAGCCUGGUCUACAAGAGCUAGUUCCAGGAUAGGCUCCAAAGCCACAGAGAAACCCUGUCUCAAAAAAACAAAACACAACAAAAAAAAAUUAUCAACCUUAACAGACUUCAUUGUGUUAGUAAUGUCAACACAAAAACCAUUUAAAGCUCUCAUCUUAAAGGGAAUAAGAGAUGGUUUAUUCUGGAGCCAUGUUCAGUGACCGUGGCUUAGGUACCUAGAUUUGAGUUGCCCUAAAUCUCAUGUUCCAAUGUGAAAGUAGUUUCAUGGAGUUUUAUAGAUUUACAGAACAAAGAAAGUCAUGAAUCAAGGCAUAUUUAAAACACAGUGGAGGGUACAUCAGAUAGGCAGGUACAGUGAGAUAUAGGAAGAUUUCCCGUAAGCCCAACAUGCUUUUGGGUUAGUAGAAGCUAGUAGCCUGCUAAAUUAAUAAAUUCUAAAAGUUUUCGAUCUAUUAGUCUCAUGACAUUAGUUCUGAUACAGAGGUGAACAAAGAAUGAGGCUGUUCUGGGGGGUUAGAACUAGCCCAAGAUAAGGUAACUAACCUCUGGACCUGCAACAUUCCAAUCUCCCCACAGUAUCAGUCCCACCCAGUCAAUCAGCCUCUACAGACACAGCCUCCUUCCAGGAGUUCUCUGCUGACAGAAAUCUAUCACUGUAUAACAAUAUUAGCACAAACCAGUUGCCUUAAAGCAUCACUCAUUGGCUCAAAGUGUAAAACAAAUCCGCUUAUCUCUUCUAGUCUCUCUGAGUUGUGUGUGAUCUGGCUGUAGCUUCACGCAGGCCUCUGCUUCCUGGGGUCUCAGCGCUUCAAUCAGAUAGUAUGUUCCGAUGGAAUGGGCUCUUCUGCCAAGCUCACAUGGCUAUCAGUAGUAUUCACGUUCUUGCAGACUGGUGGGCUGCAGACCUCGUUGAGUGGGCACCAUCUUUAAUUCCUUGUCAUGUAGGUCUUUCCAUGUGGUAACUUGCUUCAUCAGACCAUAAAAGCCACCGGCAGGGUCAAAGUUACAGUGGCAGGGUCAAAAUUACAGCUUCAUGCUCUCCGGUCAUGUGUGGUAUCUCAUCAUCUUUGUCCUAUGCUACUGGUUAAAUCAAGCCACACAUUUCACCUACAUUCAAGUAGAGGGACUUUACCCAAGGCAUGAAUACCAGAAAAAGAGGGUAUUUGUGUCCAUCUUUGUAUCCACAACCUAAGCUAUGGAAUAAUAUUCUAACAAUACUGAGACGUUCAUGGAAAAAAAAAAAAACCCAAAUAUCAAGUAGAGUAUUUACUACAAUGGUUUUCAUAAUAGUAUUCUUUUUUAAAACUUUAUUUUAUGUGCAUGGGUGUUUUGCCUGUAUGUAUGUCUGCGCAUCGUUUGUAUACCUGACGGUCUCAGAGGCCAGAAGAGGGUGUGUGAUCCUGUGGAACUGGAAUUACAGGUGGUUGUGCACCACCAUGUGUAUGCUGGGAAUUGAACCUCAGUCCUAGUUGUUUCUUUGACCCCGUAUUAGCAUUCUUUUGCCCAAUAUUCAUACAUUUACUUAUAAUUUGACACUUUAUUAUAUAUCCUUAAAUUUUUCUAACUCUUCAUGUAAGGGAAUAGACAUAAAAAUAAAAGACUUACUGUAAAAGUAAUCACUUUAUUGAAGGGGAGAUUGGGUCUAAAGUACGUAGUUUGUAAUACUAAAAUGAGAAAAGCGCUUGUUUGUACUAACCAUCUAUAGGAAUCUUUCCAGUGGACUUCACUUUACGGAGUGUGGUGGCUUGAAUGAGAUGGCCCCCAUAGGCUCACCUAUUUGAAGACUUGGUCCCCGGUGAAGAGUGCUGUUUGGGGGAAGUUUAGGAGGUGUAGCCUAGCUAGAGGAAGUAUGUUUUUGGAGGCAGGCUUUGAGGGUAAAAAGCCUCACUUACUUCCAGUUUGCUUUCUCUGCUCUGUGCUUAUAGUAAAGGAUGUGAGCUCUCAGCAGCCUGCUCCAGAUGCCAUUCCUGACAUUUGUUAUCAUGCUGCUUCUCUUCUGCCAUCAUGGAUUCUUAUCCCUUUGGAUAAACUCUCUCUUCCUUAAGUUGCUUUUAGUCAAGGCAUCUUAUCACAGUAACAGAAAAGCAACUAAUAAACUCACUAAAAUGCAAAUUAAAACACUGAUGUGCAAAUAUUAUGUCAGAUUGACAAAGAUUCCAAAGUUCUGUUAUGGAAGCUUGUGGGAAAAAACAGAGAGGAAGCCAAUAAAUAUAACAAUAUGAGACACAGACAGAUGCUAUAAAGAAAAUUGAAAUGGAAUGAAGAGUUGAAGUGACAGCUGGGUGGUGAUGGUGCACAUUUUCAAUCCCAGCACGGGAGGCAGAGCCAGGCAGAUCUCUGUGAGUUUGAGGUCUGCAGAGUGAAUCCCAGAACAACCAUAGCUACACAGAGAAACCCUGUCUCAAAAAACAAAACAAAACAAAACAAAACAAAACAAAACAAAAAGAGAGUUAAAGUGACUACUGUGCAAACCCAGCACUGGGGAACUGUGUGCACUUGCGUAUGGAGACGAGAGGACAGCCUCAAGCACCAUUCCUUGUGUGUCGUCUACUUCAUUUUUUUUACCUUUAAUUAAUUAAUUAGUUAAUUCACAGAGGUAUGUGUACACAUGCCACAGGGUGUGUGGAAGUCAGAGGACAACUAGCUGAAGUGGUUUCUGUCCUUCCAGUGUCUAGGUUCCAAGGCUCUAACUCAGGUCAUUAACUUAGGUGACAAGCAUCUAAUACCCACUGAGAAACCUUGUACCUCACUCCUUUUUUUUUUUUUUCAUUUGUUUGUUUUGUUUGUUUUUUUUGAGACAGGGUUUCUCUGCAUAACAGCCCUGACCUAGUGAGUCCUGGAACUGCUUUGUGGACCAGGCUGGCCUAAAACUUAUAGAGAUCUGCCUGCUUCUGCAAAGUGUGGAGAUUAAAAAUAUGUGCUACCAUACCUGCCCCCCCAUCCCCCUUUAUUUAGACCAAGGCCUCUGACUGCUAUGAAACUUGCCAAGUAAGGUAGACUUGCUGGACUGUGGCUUCCUCAUGUCUGCCUUCUCAGUGUCGAGAUUAUAAGGAUGUACCACAGUGUCCAGUUUUUUUAGUGACUUCUGGGGAUCAGUCAGGUUAUCACGCUUGUGAUUGACCAAGCUGUCUCCCUAGCCCCAGAGUUGCUAAUUUUACACAGGAUAGUCUAAAUGACUUUUCUCAGGAGAGAUAUUUGUGCAGAAACCUUUAAGAAGUAAAAGUAGGCCUUCAGAUACCCAAAGUAAAGAUUUUGCAGAAAACUGUAAGUGCAAAAGCUCAGACAUGGGAACAGGUUUGUAAAGCAGGCAUUAGGAGUAGGCUGGUGCACCUGACACACAAAAAGGAUAAGGAGGAAAACAGAAGGAAAUAAAAUUAGAGAGGUGGCCAGAAGCCAUGUGGUAUAGGAUCUGGUAGAUUGCAUCAAACAAAACAAAGCAAUUUUGUUCUGUGCAUCAAAGCUGUCUGUGGUUGAGACUGGGGAAAGAGAUAUAAGAAGGGUUACAUUUGAAAACAAUCUGUGAGGUCGCUGCGCUGUGGAGGAGGGGUGGACGUAGUGCCAAGAGAAAGUAGAGGUCUGAAUGCCUCCUGUGAAGGAGAAUCCCUGGGAAGAAUCUGUGUCGGCAAAGGCCGAUUGGCUGACUGGGUCUUGGAGAGGUUGUAGUUUGCCUUGGGCACAUUUUAGGCCUCUAAAUAGUCAUCACUUGCCCACCUCUGUGUCAGAUUAAAAACCUCUUGAAAUAUGUUAGCAAAGCCCAGUUUCUACCCACCCACUGUCUCAGAGUCCUCAGAGAAUCUGAGCCCCUGGCUGAGGUUUCUCUGCUUUGCUAUAAGCACCUACUUAAUGUAUUUUGAAAAAGUACCUUGAUAUAUGACUUUCUUUGUUCUGUUACUAUAAAAACUUCAUGCAGCUGCUACCAUCCUAGAGCAUGGAACUUGGGGUAACCUGAAUCUGUUUCUGGGCCAUGGACACCCAUAUUUGGCUUCAGAAUAGACUGUCUCCUGACCCCUUUGAGAUGAGGACAUGGGUGAACAGAGAUUGAGACACUUAUAAGGACCAAGGACACCUGGUAAAGGACAGUACUGAGAUUUGAACUCAGAAAGUCUUAUCUCAUGCUUGCACCGGGAAGUCAUGGGAGACACAGAUACAGAACUCAGGAGCAAUCCAGGGGAGAAAGAACAGUAAGUAACCUGCUGUUUUUGCUGUCACAGGCCUCCAGUCUCCUUCUAUGGAGUGUCCAAUGGGGAUUAUUACUGGAGCAAACUGAAAAAGCUGAAGAGCUGCUCACUUUCCUCUUAAAUGAGCAGACAGAUGUUUUACACCAUCCUUGCAGGGCAAUCUCCUGAUUUGGAGUCAUCAGUGAAGUGAUCUGGUGAUGGGAGUAUAAAUCUCUGGUAGAAUGAUAGCAGGUACAACCCUGAAGUCAUUCUCCAGCACCACAAUAAAAAAGCUAAGGGGGCUGGAGAGGUGGCUCAGCAGUGCAGAGCAAUUGUUGCUCUUACAGAGGACCAUGGUUUGAUUCCCAGUACCCACAUAACGGCUCACACUUGUCUAUAACUCCAGUUCCCGGGGAUCUGAUGCCCUCUUCUGGGCUCUGCAGGCACCAGACACACAUGUGUUGCAAAAACAUACAUGCAGGCAAAGUGCUUAUAAACAUAAAACAAAUCUAAAAACCAAACAUGUUAAAAUCUAAAUAACAAGUUAAAUUAAAAAAUGAAGUUGUUUUUAGUUUACACUAGUCAGAGCAUGUUGCUAGCUACUUCCUCUACGAUGUUGAUGCCAUGGAUGUAGGAAGGAGUGGGCCCUUUAAUUUGUGGUACUUUGGGGGAGACAAGCAGAAGGAGAGUGUUUUUUUUUUUUGUUUGUUUUGUUUUUUGACAAGAAAACAUUAAUAUAAAGCCCAUGAGACCUAGGAGCUGGUGUGAUGAUAAAGGCAAGCCAUUAAAUUUAAUCUGCUUUGUAAUUUUACCUGUAUGGUAAUUUUUGCCUUAUCAUAGACGCCAUUAUGGACCAAAUAUAUUCCCAUAUCUAAUAUCUUCCUUCCUUCCUUCCUUCCUUCCUUCCUUCCUUCCUUCCUUCCUUCCUUUCUUUUGAUACAGGGUUUCACUAUGUAGUCUUGCUGGCCUGAAACUCUCUACAUAGACUGGGCAGGUCUCAAACUCAGAGAUCUGCCUGCCUCUGCCUCCUGAGUGUUGAGUUUCAAGGUGUGGUAUGCACCACCAUGCCUGCCUGACUGCCUGACUACCUGCCUGCUGCCUGCCUGCCUGUCUGUCUACAUAUAGGGUGAUAGACUGAUGUCAUAAUCAGUUUGGGAAGUUUCAGACUUUGUGAUUCCUGGGACUCACAUGAUAAAAAUAAGAAAACUGAUUUCUGCAAGCUGUCCUCUGACCUCCACAUAAGGUCAUGGCUCAUGUGCACCCACAAAAUAAACAAAUAAAAUGUAAUACAAAGAAAGAAAGGGAAGAGAAGAAGGAUGUGAGGGAAGAAAAACAGCAAAGGAUGAAAAGAAAUAAAAAAGAGCAGGGGAAAUAGUAAAGAACAGAAAAUGCUAGAGAGAGAAAAAUUUACGCAAACAUUUGGAAGAGGAUCAACAUACUGUCCCUUUUACUGCAUCUUCUCUUCUUAGAUUUGUUCUCUUCCAUACACAACUGAAAUUCCUUCAUUUGAAAAUUAUUUUGCAAGCAUUUAGAUAUGGCCACUUAAGUAAAUAUGGGAUUUGAAGAAACGAUACUAAUUGAUCCCUUUCCCUAACAAAUAGCUAUUAAGAGCCUUCUUAUGUCUGGCUUAAUGCUUAGGGGUAGUGCUGAGUAAGACAGAAAACCUUUGGAGAUUUCAUUAGCAUCGAGCUCACUAGCACACCCAUGAUUCACAAUCUAUCACAAUAAAUGUCUUCUCUUGAAAUCAUAGCAGGAGAACAUGGCAGAUGAAAGUAUCUAUCCCAAGGUUACACACAGGCAGGUGCUUAACGUAAUUGCUUUGUAAUGACACUAUUAAAACUCUAAGAAUAGUCAGGGUACUUUCUUGAACUUUAUAAGGCAAUGGAAAAAUUCCUAUAAAGAAUAUUAGAAAGAGUUAUCGAUCAAUCAAUUGAAACCUUCCAGUUAGAAUAAUAGAUGUAUUUAACCAGUGGGCAUGCGAUUUGUGUGAUUGAGGAGACUUCUUUCCUCACACUUGAGGGCUCUUCCCCGUGACAGGGUCCUAUUAGUGUAUAUCUUAGCAUAGUGCGUCUGUUCUUCUGCCAAUACCAUACUUGUUUCACCCUGGAGGUGAUCAAUGGGUUUUGAAAAAGAAACUGGACAUUGGCUUCCCCCUCUUGGGAUGCGGUGGGGGAGAGGAAGCUUUUGCUUUUAUUUCUGAUUCUGCAGGGACACGCCCUGACAGGGAGGGUCGGCAUAGAUACAUCUGAAAACAGUAUUGCUGAGCCUCCUUGCUCAGACACCAACCUUCCCAGCUAAAGCUUUAGGAACAGUAAAGUUGAUUUCUUUUGUUUCCCACCUGUCUUGCUUUUAUAUAUAUUUUUUCCUAGUAAGUUGGAAAUCAGGGGGCUGGAGAGAUGGCUCAGAAGUUAAGAGCACUGACUGCUCUUCCAGAAGACCAGGGUUCAAUUCCCAGCACCCACACGGUAGCUCACAACCAUCUGUAUUUCCAGUUCCAGGGAUCUGACUCCCUCUUCUGGCCUCCAUGGGUACUGCAAGCACAGAGCACACACGUAUGUAGACAAGACACCUAUAUACACAUGAAAUAAAAAAAAAAGUAAGUCCUUUAAAAAAAAAGUUGGAAAUCGG